GUUCCUACGGGAGGCAGCAGUAGGGAAUUUUCGUCAAUGGGCGCAAGCCUGAACGAGCAAUGCCGCGUGAACGAGGAAGGUCUUCGGAUCGUAAAGUUCUGUUGAAGGGGAAAAAGAGCGGAGAGAGGAAAUGGUCUCCGAUUGAUAUUACCCUUCGAGGAAGUCACGGCUAACUACGUGCCAGCAGCCGCGGUCAUACGUAGGAUCCGAGCAUUAUCCGGAGUGCCUGGGUGUAAAGAGUUGCGUAGGUGGCAUGGUAAGUAGCUAGUGAAAUCUGGUGGCUCAACCAUUCAGACUAUUAGCUA
rnacentral:rRNA from 1 species